GCCAAGGCUGGGACACGCCCCUGAUGGGAAAGAGGGCUGGCCCAGAACAGUGGCUCCGCCCCCAGAACGCCAAGAGAUUGAGGGGAUAGGUCCGUGGUCUCCUCUGCACUGGUCCACAGCAUGGAGGACCCUGCCCCAAGGUCCUCAUCAAACUCCUUUUGGGGGUAGAAUUCAAUACCAUUUACUUCAAGCUCCUUGCGGACCUAGAGGCAAGAAGGAGAAGCAAAGCAGUCAAGUGUUAUCGCAGAAGACAGAGGUGACAGGGGACACAAACCAGAGCCACGCCCAGCAGCAGGGGAGGGGUCGGUACGCACGAGUGUCCAGUCGGAGAGAUGAAG